UCCCAUAUGGUCUAGCUGGUUUAGGGAUCCGGCAGCUCUCACCGCCGUGGCCGGGUUCGAUUCCCGGAGGUGGGAA